rnacentral:rRNA from 1 species
ACAGCAGUCGCCGCGGUAAUACGUAGGGUGCAAGCGUUAAUCGGAAUUACUGGGCGUAAAGCGUGCGCAGGCGGUUAUAUAAGACAGAUGUGAAAUCCCCGGGCUCAACCUGGGAACUGCAUUUGUGACUGUAUAGCUAGAGUACGGCAGAGGGGGAUGGAAUUCCGCGUGUAGCAGUGAAAUGCGUAGAUAUGCGGAGGAACACCGAUGGCGAAGGCAAUCCCCUGGGCCUGUACUGACGCUCAUGCACGAAAGCGUGGGGAGCAAACAGGAUUAGAUACCCGUGUAGUCCCUGUCUCUUAUAA